AACGAACGCUGGCGGCAGGCUUAACACAUGCAAGUCGAACGGGCGUAGCAAUACGUCAGUGGCAGACGGGUGAGUAACACGUGGGAACCUUCCUCGUAGUACGGGACAACUCAGGGAAACUUGAGCUAAUACCGUAUACGUCCGAGAGGAGAAAGAUUUAUCGCUAUGAGACGGGCCCGCGUCCGAUUAGGUAGGUGGGGGGGUAACGGCCUACCAAGCCGCAGAUCGGUAGCUGAUCUGAGAGGAUGAUCAGCCGCACUGGGACUGAGACACGGACCAGAGUCCUACGGGAGGCAGCAGUGGGGAAUCUUGGACAAUGGGCGCAAGCCUGAUCCAGCCAUGCCGCGUGAGUGAAGAAGGCCUUAGGGUUGUAAAGCUCUUUUGCCAGGGACGAUAAUGACGGUACCUGGAGAAUAAGCCCCGGCAAACUUCGUGCCAGCCGCCGCCGUAACAC
rnacentral:rRNA from 1 species